rnacentral:rRNA from 1 species
AAGCUUCGCCAACAAGGGGAGGACUCUGACCGAGCAACGCCGCGUGAAUGACGAAGUACUUCGGUAUGUAAAGUUCUUUUAUCGAGGAAGAAAAGCAAAUGGCGAACCAUUUGUUUGCCGGUACUUGAUGAAUAAGCCCCGGCUAAUUAUGUGCCAGCAGCCGCGGUAAGACAUAAGGGGCAAGUGUUAUCCGGAAUUAUUGGGCGUAAAGGGUGCGUAGGCGGUCUAGUAAGUCAGUGGUGUAAUGGCAACGCUUAACGUUGUCCGGCUAUUGAAACUGCUAAACUUGAGUUAGAUAGAGGCGAGUGGAAUUCCAUGUGUAGCGGUAAAAUGCGUAAAUAUAUGGAGGAACACCAGAGGCGUAGGCGGCUCGCUGGGUCUUAACUGACGCUGAGGCACGAAAGCGUGGGGAGCAAACAGGAUUAGAUACCCUGGUAGUCCACGCCGUAAACGAUGAGUACUAAGUGUCGGGUUAAACCGGUACUGAAGUUAACACAUUAAGUACUCCGCCUGAGUAGUACGUACGCAAGUAUGAAACUUAAAGGAAUUGACGGGACUCCGCACAAGCGGUGGAUCAUGUUGUUUAAUUCGAAGAUACCCGAAAAACCUUACCAGGUCUUGACAUGUUUUUGCAAAAUGAUAGUAAUAUCGUGGAGGUUACCAGAAACACAGGUGGUGCAUGGUUGUCGUCAGCUCGUGUCGUGAGAUGUUAGGUUAAGUCCUAAAACGAGCGAAACCCUUAUCGUUAGUUGCCAGCACGUUAUGGUGGGGACUUUAACGAGACUGCCAAUGAUAAAUUGGAGGAAGGUGAGGAUCACGUCAAAUCAGCAUGCCCCUUAUGACCUGGGCUACAAACGUGAUACAAUGGCUGUUACAAGAAAUAACCGAAAAAAC